UACAGAGGGUGCGAGCGUUAAUCGGAAUUACUGGGCGUAAAGCGUGCGCAGGCGGUUUUGUAAGCCAGAUGUGAAAGCCCCGGGCUUAACCUGGGAACGGCAUUUGGGACUGCAAGGCUUGAGUGCGGCAGAGGAGACUGGAAUUCCUGGUGUAGCAGUGAAAUGCGUAGAUAUCAGGAGGAAUACCGAUGGCGAAGGCAGGUCUCUGGGCUGACACUGACGCUCAUGCACGAAAGCGUGGGGAGCAAACAGG
rnacentral:rRNA from 1 species